rnacentral:tRNA from 1 species
GCGCCGGUUGCUCUGGGACAGAUCUGCGGCUUUGGGCUGCAGGGCUAUGUGAUGGCGUUGGAUGCGCUGUCGGCGCA